UACGUAGGGGCCUAGCGUUGUCCGGAUUUAUUGGGCGUAAAGAGCUCGUAGGCGGUUUGGUGAGUCGGGUGUGAAAUCUCCACGCUCAACGUGGAGGAGCCACCCGAUACUGCCAUGACUAGAGUCCGGUAGGGGAGUGUGGAAUUCCUGGUGUAGCGGUGAAAUGCGCAGAUAUCAGGAGGAACACCAGCGGCGAAGGCGGCGCUCUGGGCCGGUACUGACGCUGAGGAGCGAAAGCGUGGGUAGCAAACAGG
rnacentral:rRNA from 1 species